AAAUUGAAGAGUUUGAUCAUGGCUCAGAUUGAACGCUGGCGGCAGGCCUAACACAUGCAAGUCGAACGGUAACAGGAAGCAGCUUGCUGCUUCGCUGACGAGUGGCGGACGGGUGAGUAAUGUCUGGGAAACUGCCUGAUGGAGGGGGAUAACUACUGGAAACGGUGGCUAAUACCGCAUAACGUCGCAAGACCAAAGAGGGGGACCUUCGGGCCUCUUGCCAUCAGAUGUGCCCAGAUGGGAUUAGCUGGUAGGUGGGGUAACGGCUCACCUAGGCGACGAUCCCUAGCUGGUCUGAGAGGAUGACCAGCCACACUGGAACUGAGACACGGUCCAGACUCCUACGGGAGGCAGCAGUGGGGAAUAUUGCACAAUGGGCGCAAGCCUGAUGCAGCCAUGCCGCGUGUAUGAAGAAGGCCUUCGGGUUGUAAAGUACUUUCAGCGGGGAGGAAGGUGUUGUGGUUAAUAACCGCAGCAAUUGACGUUACCCGCAGAAGAAGCACCGGCUAACUCCGUGCCAGCAGCCGCGGUAAUACGGAGGGUGCAAGCGUUAAUCGGAAUUACUGGGCGUAAAGCGCAC
rnacentral:rRNA from 1 species